UGGGUGAGAAGCUGGGAAUAGCUGCCUUUGUCUUAUCUCUCCUGGCUUUCAUCAUCAACCUGGCCGUUCUGUCUUGGCUGGGCUGGCAAAGAUUUAGUGACAAGCUGAGCACCUCUAACACAGCAGCGAAGUGUUUUCCUGGACCACAGAAAACACCAAAAGAAUGUUUGCCACAGACUGGCGGAGACGGAGAUGUGUACAUGAAUUACACAAGCA